AGAUUGAACGCUGGCGGCAUGCCUUACACAUGCAAGUCGAACGGCAGCACGGGGGCAACCCUGGUGGCGAGUGGCGAACGGGUGAGUAAUGCAUCGGAACGUGCCCAGUAGUGGGGGAUAACUAGUCGAAAGAUUAGCUAAUACCGCAUACGACCUAUGGGUGAAAGCGGGGGAUUCGCAAGAACCUCGCGCUAUCGGAGCGGCCGAUGUCUGAUUAGCUAGUUGGCGGGUAAAAGCCCACCAAGGCUUCGAUCAGUAGCUGGUCUGAGAGGACGACCAGCCACACUGGGACUGAGACACGGCCCAGACUCCUACGGGAGGCAGCAGUGGGAAUUUUGGACAAUGGGCGCAAGCCUGAUCCAGCCAUGCCGCGUGCGGGAAGAAGGCCUUCGGUUGUAAACCGCUUUUUGGCAGGAACGAAACGGCGCGAGCGAAUAUCUCGCGUUAAUGACGGUACCUGCAGAAUAAGCACGGCUAACUACGUG
rnacentral:rRNA from 1 species